rnacentral:rRNA from 1 species
GUGGGGAAUUUUGGACAAUGGGCGCAAGCCUGAUCCAGCAAUGCCGCGUGCAGGAAGAAGGCCUUCGGGUUGUAAACCGCUUUUGUCAGGGAAGAAAUCCUUUGGGUUAAUACCUCGGAGGGAUGACGGUACCUGAAGAAUAAGCACCGGCUAACUACGUGCCAGCAGCCGCGGUAAUACGUAGGGUGCGAGCGUUAAUCGGAAUUACUGGGCGUAAAGCGUGCGCAGGCGGUUUUGUAAGAUCGAUGUGAAAUCCCCGGGCUCAACCUGGGAACUGCAUUGGUGACUGCAAGGCUGGAGUGCGGCAGAGGGGGAUGGAAUUCCGCGUGUAGCAGUGAAAUGCGUAGAUAUGCGGAGGAACACCGAUGGCGAAGGCAAUCCCCUGGGCCUGCACUGACGCUCAUGCACGAAAGCGUGGGGAGCAAACAGGAUUAGAUACCCCUGUAGUCC